GACGAACGCUGGCGGCGUGCUUAACACAUGCAAGUCGAACGAGGUCCAACCAGUGGCAACACUGGAGAAGACCUAGUGGCGAACGGGUGAGUAACACGUGAGAAACCUUCCCCGAAGACUGGGAUAAGCCCUCGAAAGGGGGUCUAAUACCGGAUGUCCUCUUCACGUCGCAUGGCGAGAAGAGGAAAUGGUCCGCCGCUUCGGGACGGUCUCGCGGCCUAUCAGCUUGUUGGUGAGGAACGGCUCACCAAGGCAACGACGGGUAGCUGGUCUGAGAGGACGAUCAGCCACACUGGGACUGAGACACGGCCCAGACUCCUACGGGAGCAGCAGUGGGGAAUCUUGGACAAUGGGCGCAAGCCUGAUCCAGCCAUGCCGCGUGGGUGAAGAAGGCC
rnacentral:rRNA from 1 species